rnacentral:misc_RNA from 1 species
AAUAUACAUAAACAAAUAUAAAUUAACUAGGAGAUUGCUUGGAAAAUAUUAAUAAAUUAUUACAAUUAAAUUAUAAUAAUUUUCGUCUAUUUUUCAUUAACUGAAUCUAUUUAUAAUAAUUUCACUGUCAAUACUUAUAAAUACAUCUCUUUCAAUGUAUGUCACCAAAUAAUAAUUUAGUAGCUCGUCUCCCAUUCUAUUACAAAGUGAACGUUUAAUUAUAUUCAUUGCAGAAAAAGCUUUUUCCAUUGUGGCUGUAGCAACUGGCAAGAU